rnacentral:rRNA from 1 species
GACGAACGCUGGCGGCGUGCCUAAUACAUGCGAGUCGAACGAACCGCGACUAAGUGCUUGCACUAAGUCAAGGUGAGUGGCGAACGGGUGAGUAACACGUGGGUAACCUACCUCAUAGUGGGGGAUAACAGUCGGAAACGACUGCUAAUACUGCAUAGGACAUAGGAUCACAUGAUCCAGUGAGGAAAGGUGGCGCAAGCUAUCGCUAAGAGAUGGACCCGCGGUGCAUUAGCUAGUUGGUAGGGUAAAGGCCUACCAAGGCGAUGAUGCAUAGCCGACCUGAGAGGGUGAUCGGCCACAUUGGGACUGAGACACGGCCCAAACUCCUACGGGAGGCAGCAGUAGGGAAUCUUCCGCAAUGGACGCAAGUCUGACGGAGCAACGCCGCGUGAGUGAAGAAGGUCUUCGGAUCGUAAAGCUCUGUUGUUAGAGAAGAACAGCGCAUAGAGUAACUGCUAUGCGUGUGACGGUAUCUAACCAGAAAGCCACGGCUAACUACGUG